UGAACUCAGGUCCUUGAGCUUGCAAGACAGUAGGUGGAACCACUGAGCUAAAUCCCCAGCCCUCAAGGAUGGCUUUUAAAUCAACCUACUCAGCAUUAUUUACUCAGUCAAAUGCUUCAGGAAAGCAUAUCAAAUCCACAAUCAGCAGUCCAUUUGCAAAAGUUCUGUGUGCAUCCCUAAGGCUAUGUUGGACUUGAAGGCAGCGGCACCACUGAGCUAAAUCCCCGACUCCAUUUUAUAUAUAAGGAAGCAGAGACAACAAAAAGCAAGAGGCCCUGAAGGACUAUGAAAACAUUUACAGCUCCAAGUUGGAGAGAUGUGGGUUUCCAUAUUUCAUGGUAUCUCUGGAAAAGAAAGGAGAUUUAUGCACAGGAGAAACUCAACCUAAAAACAUUCAACAGCUUCAGGUAGAGAGGCUAAAGCUUGCCUAGAGAAGGAAUUUAAAUACUUAUUUGGGGAUAUGGCCAUGCUGGUACACAUCUAUAAUCCCAGCACUCAAGAGGCUGAGGCAGAAGGAUCACUGAGAGUUCAAACCCAGCCUGGACUACAUAAUGAAACCCUGCCUCAAAAAAAGAAAAAAAAGGCAUUUGGGAUUGAGGUGCCAUACUCUCAGUGUACUAAGAGGACCAGAAGACUAUCUAGAGAAAAUGCUUAUUUGUAAAGCCAUGUACACCCUGGAAGAAGGUGACUUUAAUCUAUGAUGUCUCUCCAAAACUAUUACUUACACAACACAGCAAAUUUUCUCUUUGCUGAGACAUGCAAAAAGGAAAAGAAGAAUUCCCAUUUUCUCAAUGUUAUCAUGUAUUGAAUUUAAGCAACCACUUUCAGCAUUUUUAAAUGAAAUAUUAAAAAGGGUUUGUACGAAUCCUUUCCCUGCCCUCAAAAUGUUGCAAUACUGCUCCCACAAAAGAAAACUGCUAUAACCUAUCUGGCCUCAGAGUUGUUUUUGUUUUUUAUUUUUUUUCAUUCCUUCAUCAUCCAUUACAAAUCUCCAGACUUAGAUGUUCAAGCAUUCCCUGCACUGACCACAGAUAGUGGUAGACGUCCAUGGCUAUCCAAGGGUCUUUCAAUGAAACCAUCUUUUCAUCAACUGUAAACAAGCGCUAAACUCUUGGCUCCAUAGAGAGUCCCUACAAGUCAGUAUACAAUCUGACAGGGGCAGAGGUCAAGGAGAUGAGAAUUCUACCUAAACUCUGGAUCUCAUACCACCCUCCCCCUGUUCAAAAGAAUUCUUAUCAGCAGAGAACUCCCCUGUAGAGGCCACAUUCAGGAGACCCAGCAGAUUCAGCUGAAGCUUGGGAAGCAGGCUCCAUAUCAGGAACAGAAUGUUGUGGAGAAAAGGCGAUGUAAGGAGGAAAAGCAGAGAUUUAUGAAUUUAGCUUACUUUGCUUCAAGAAAGACCUGUCUAAUAACUGACAGAACAAACCUGAACUUGAGAAGAAAUCUCUUUCAGAACCUAUUCCUCUUUUGUUCAAAUCAUCCCAAUAUAUGCAAAAGAUGCCCAAAUGACACUUUAAAAAUCUUCAUUCUUUUGUACAUAAAAAGCCCCACUAUGGAUGCUAUAAAUGAUUAUACUGGCUUAAAUUCUCCUACCAUUAUUAGCACCCAAGACUUCACAAUCAAGAGAGCCACCAACCAGACAUACUAGUUAAGCAGGGGCUCUGAAGUCAUAUUUCACUAUGACUUUUGGGGUGAGUCAUUUACUCCUUCAAUCUAACAGUUCUUAUUUGUAAAGCAGAGA